rnacentral:rRNA from 1 species
UACGUAGGGGGCGAGCGUUUUCCGGAAUCAUUGGGCGUAAAGAGCUCGUAGGCGGCUCAGUAAGUCGGCUGUGAAAGCCCGGGGCUCAACCCCGGAACUGCAGUCGAUACUGCUGUGGCUAGAGUCCGGUAGAGGAGGGUGGAAUUCCCGGUGUAGCGGUGGAAUACGCAGCUAUCGGGAGGAACACCAGUAGCGAAGGCGGCCCUCUGGGCCGGUACUGACGCUGAGGAGCGAAAGCGUGGGGAGCAAACAGG